rnacentral:ncRNA from 1 species
AUUAUAUAUCUAUUAUAUUCGUAUAAAACUGGAAAUAUGGUCCAGAAGUUUCUACCGGCUAACCUUAAAUCGGCCGACUACGGAGGUUAAGU